GGGGGCGACUUGGUUUCGACGUGGGUCGCGAAACCUUAGGUGCAUGCCGAGGUGCAGGUACCUCGUUAAACCGUCUGCAAAUUCUAGUUGCCAACGACGACAACUACGCCCUCGCUGCUUAACCCCAGCGGGCCUCCGACCGAUGUUUGCCUGUGGGCAUCGGGUUCCGGGGGUAACAACACAUAGGAUCGCGGUGACGGGGGUCCAGACCUGAUCCGCUAAAACCCCAAAUUUGGAAUCGCCGACCGUGCGCCCUGCCCUUCGGGCGCGGGAAGGCUAAAAAAAAUUGAACGGGCUAAGCAUGUAGUACCAACGGCAGAGGGCUUGCGGACGCGGGUUCGAUUCCCGCCGCCUCCACCA
rnacentral:tmRNA from 1 species